rnacentral:rRNA from 1 species
CCUACGGGUGGCAGCAGUGAGGAAUAUUGGUCAAUGGGAGGAAUCCUGAACCAGCCAUGCCGCGUGCAGGACGACGGCUCUACGAGUUGUAAACUGCUUUUGUACCGGGGUAAAAUGCUCUACGAGUAGGGUUUUGAAAGUACGGUACGAAUAAGGAUCGGCUAACUCCGUGCCAGCAGCCGCGGUAAUACGGAGGAUCCGAGCGUUAUCCGGAUUCAUGGGGUUUAAAGGGUGCGUAGGUGGUUUUAUAAGUUAGCGGGGAAAUACCGAUGCGCAACCAUGGGGCUGCAGCUGAAACUGUAAGACUAGAGAUCGGAUGCAGCAGGCGGAAUGUGUGGUGUAGCGGUGAAAUGCAUAGAUAUUACACAGAACACCGAUUGCGAAGGCAGCUUGCUAGGCCGGAUCUGACACUGAUGCACGAAAGCGUGGGGAUCGAACAGGAUUAGAUACCCUGGUAGUC